GUCUCUUUCGUCUAGUGGUUAGGACAUUGCUUUUUCACGGCAAAGAUAUGGGUUCAAUUCCCAUAAGAGAUUUUA
rnacentral:tRNA from 1 species